GUGACCAUGCGCCGCAGGACGCUCUACUAUGGCCUCAACCUGCUGAUCCCCUGUGUGCUCAUCUCCGCCCUCGCCCUGCUGGUGUUCCUGCUUCCUGCAGAUUCCGGGGAGAAGAUUUCCCUGGGUAAGCGCCCCAGUGUCUGGCGGGAGUCUGAGACUAGAGACCCUCUGCUGAGGUCAGCUCUGGAGGGCUCACAGCAGACAGCGCAGGACUCCAUCAGGGUUCCUGGGGAUUCCCUGGCUCAUCCCAUGGACCUCCGAGCCCACGGUGGCUCCAGGACACCAGAGGUCCCUGAUUCGGGCUCCGUGCUGGACGGCUGUGUAAUCCUGAGAAUACUGGAGGACCCUCAGAGGAUGGGGGAUGCACAGGGAGGGGCCAGCUCCAUUCUGCCUUGAGAGGCCUGUGCCUUCUUCCCUCCUGCCACCCCACCUGUUCCUCAAUGGCGACUGGUCAUCGAGGGAACAAUUUAGCUUAGUAUCAGCUUGCAUUUGUAUGUUACAGUACCCAGUGUAAUUCUUACGAUC
rnacentral:sRNA from 1 species